rnacentral:rRNA from 1 species
UACGUAGGAUGCAAGCGUUGUCCGGAAUUAUUGGGCGUAAAGAGAACGUAGGUGGCCUGUUAAGUUCGAUCUUAAAGACCGGGGCUCAACCCCGGGAAUGGAUUGAAAACUGGCAUGCUAGAGGAUGUUAGAGGACGGUGGAAUUCCCAGUGUAGCGGUGAAAUGCGUAGAUAUUGGGAGGAACACCAGUGGCGAAAGCGGCCGUCUGGAACAUUCCUGACACUGAGGUUCGAAAGCUCGGGGAGCAAACGAGGAUAGAA